ACUUGGAAAGGACACUUGCUCUAUGGUUAGAGCAUCUGCUUUGCAUGCAGAAGAUCUCAGGUUCAAUCUCUGCUAUCUCCAAGUA